CCAGGGAUUGAACCCACAACCUUGGUGCUCUAACCAACUGAGCUACUUGGCCAGGGUCAUAGAAACUUUUCUAAGUGUGUUAGUCUGACUUUCUUAUAGGCCCAGAUAUUCUAAUUAGUGUGGAAAAUUUAUUAAGUUGACUAAGAAAUUAACAUCUUUAUGAGAUCUAGAAGUUAGUUUAAUAAUACAGAAUGAAUUCAGUUUGUGUUUUCGUUUUAAGAAGUUAUAUAUAAGAAUCUGUAAACAAUUUAACAAUGUUUAACAAUUCUGUUCAAUAUUAUUAGGUGAUUCAGCAAGAGAACUAGGGACGAAGUGAGUGAUUAAGGGGUUCUGAAGUUAAGAAAAGUUAGAAUUAUUCUCACAGUCAUAUACACCCUUCUCCACUAUAUAGGCCUUGUUUUGUAAAGAAGCAUUUUAAACACAGAGUACAGUCAAACUACAGGUAGGCUUCACUUAGCUCCUUGAGAAAAUCCUUAGCAGCUACUUUACUGUCAUCCCUAUGCAGUACUUACUAAGUACUGUUUGUAUGUAAACAUAGGAAAACUUCCCCAUGCAGAUGAGCAUUUUCCAAAAGUGAAUUUUCUUGGUGAAAUAACUAGAAAAUAUUAAUGGUUAUGUUGUGGUAGAGGAAAAACAGUAUUAAGAAUUGAUGAGUUGAUACAAAUCAGCCUGAGCUCUUAAUGAUAGAGCAAAACACCAUCAGGAACUUGGCUUGGUGGGUUUUUCCUUCUGUGGCUGAGAACCCUGCACAGACCUGACAAAUUGGGAAUUUGCUCUAAAGAUUACCUUGAAGAAUUUUCCUCGACAGUAGGAAACAUUUCUAAGACUUAAAUCAUUAGUUCACCUGCUUAUUAUUAGCAUUAGUUUUUCACUGGUAGAACAUGGAACUUUGAAAAGGAGAGUGUAAGACUUCAAACAUAUCUUCAAGUGUUUUAAUUUAUGUACUUACACAGAAGUAUUUUAACUGGUCAUAGAUGUACAUAAGCCAAAUACAAAAGGCUCAAUUAUUUACAUAACAAAUAUAUUCUUGGAUGAAAUUGAGUUCUUAAGACCAAACGUGGAGGCAGGCCCCAGGGGAAAGGCCUGCAGACCAGCACGGGAGAGCACCACACUGAGAGUGGCCUGCGGCCCGCUUCCUGCUUCCGCAGGCUCUGCUAACGGAGCUCAGUGAGAGCUGCUGAGCAUCACGUUCACACUUCAAAACUAGUUAAACACUUGUCUCUGGACUGCGAAAGUCUUUUGUUACUGUUAUUGGAGACUGGAGAUUUUUACAUUUUUCAUGGAAUUUGCUGAUUGUCAUUUGAUACUGUAGAAAAUAAACCGGUCAGAUUUUGCUUCCCCUGAAACUUUGUGACUUACCUGAAAGUUUAUCCUUGUCUGCCUGCCAAGGUUGCUUUACCUUUUUAGUCUUCCACCUGCUCGACAGAAUUGUUAAUGCAUAUAAGACUGUUGUUUCGUUUUU